rnacentral:rRNA from 1 species
AGAACGAACGCUGGCGGCAGGCUUAACACAUGCAAGUCGAACGCUCCGCAAGGGGAGUGGCAGACGGGUGAGUAACGCGUGGGAAUCUACCCAAUACUACGGAAUAGCUCCGGGAAACUGGAAUUAAUACCGUAUGUGCCCUACGGGGGAAAGAUUUAUCGGUAUUGGAUGAGCCCGCGUUGGAUUAGCUAGUUGGUGAGGUAACGGCCCACCAAGGCGACGAUCCAUAGCUGGUCUGAGAGGAUGAUCAGCCACACUGGGACUGAGACACGGCCCAGACUCCUACGGGAGGCAGCAGUGGGGAAUAUUGGACAAUGGGCGCAAGCCUGAUCCAGCCAUGCCGCGUGAGUGAUGAAGGCCUUAGGGUUGUAAAGCUCUUUCAGUGGGGAAGAUAAUGACGGUACCCACAGAGAAGCCCCGGCUAACUUCGUGCCAGCAGCCGC